rnacentral:rRNA from 1 species
AACUAACGCUGGCGGCGUGCCUAACACAUGCAAGUCGUACGAGAAAGUCCGCUUCGGUGGAUCAGUAAAGUGGCGCACGGGUGAGUAACGCGUGGAUAAUCUACCCCUCAGUUGGGAAUAACGUACCGAAAGGUGCGCUAAUACCGAAUGACACUGCACAUCUUCUGUUGUGUAGUCAAAGAUGGCCUCUGCUUGCAAGCUUUCGCUGAAGGAUGAGUCCGCGUACCAUUAGCUAGUUGGUAGGGUAAUGGCCUACCAAGGCAACGAUGGUUAGCUGGUCUGAGAGGAUGAUCAGCCACACUGGAACUGAGACACGGUCCAGACUCCUACGGGAGGCAGCAGUGAGGAAUAUUGCGCAAUGGGGGCAACCCUGACGCAGCAACGCCGCGUGAGUGAGGAAGGUUUUCGGACCGUAAAGCUCUGUCGAGCGGGAAGAAAUGUACGAUGGCUAAUAUCCAUCAUGCUUGACGGUACCGCUAAAGGAAGCACCGGCUAACUCCGUGCCAGCAGCCGCCGUAAGAC